GAUGAACGCUGGCGGCGUGCCUAAUACAUGCAAGUCGAGCGAACGGACGAGAAGCUUGCUUCUCUGAUGUUAGCGGCGGACGGGUGAGUAACACGUGGAUAACCUACCUAUAAGACUGGGAUAACUUCGGGAAACCGGAGCUAAUACCGGAUAAUAUUUUGAACCGCAUGGUUCAAAAGUGAAAGACGGUCUUGCUGUCACUUAUAGAUGGAUCCGCGCUGCAUUAGCAAGUUGGUAAGGUAACGGCUUACCAAGGCAACGAUGCAUAGCCGACCUGAGAGGGUGAUCGGCCACACUGGAACUGAGACACGGUCCAGACUCCUACGGGAGGCAGCAGUAGGGAAUCUUCCGCAAUGGGCGCAAGCCUGACGGAGCAACGCCGCGUGAGUGAUGAAGGUCUUCGGAUCGUAAAACUCUGUUAUUAGGGAAGAACAUAUGUGUAAGUAACUGUGCACAUCUUGACGGUACCUAAUCAGAAAGCCACGGCUAACUACGUG
rnacentral:rRNA from 1 species